UCGUUAUCGCGGUCGAAUAAAGCUGUGAUUCUUCCUUUCCCAUAGGAAUAUUCUAAUUGUAAAAUAUAUAAUCUUGCAAGCGUGUGUAGUAAAAGAACCGUCUCGGCGUGCCCCAUAAGUAACCCCGUAAAACUUUAUCAUGCUUAACUUUUUUAUUAAAUACGGUUAUAUAUAAAAAAAAAAGAAAACAAAAACCUAAACCCUUGAGAGCACAGGAGAGCUAACUAAGGGCCGAGCCUCAUUAAAACCUUCCUACGGAAAACCCCAUGGGAAAAACCGUAAGAAGGAAAAAGAGUACCCGUCUAGACAAAAGCAAAGAUCGAAGAGCGGGAGGGAAGAUCUCGGGAACUCCGGCCUAACCAUCGUCCCCAGACCAACCCG
rnacentral:lncRNA from 1 species